GAUGAACGCUAGCUACAGGCUUAACACAUGCAAGUCGCGGGGCAGCAUGACAUCAGCUUGCUGAUGUUGAUGGCGACCGGCGCACGGGUGAGUAACGCGUAUCCAACCUGCCCUUUACUAUGGGACAGCCCGUCGAAAGGCGGAUUAAUACCGUAUGUUGUCAUGUUGAUGCAUAUUUUCAUGACCAAAGGCUUCGGCCGGUAAAGGAUGGGGAUGCGUCUGAUUAGCGUGCCGGCGGGGUAACGGCCCACCGGGGCGACGAUCAGUAGGGGUUCUGAGAGGAAGGUCCCCCACACUGGUACUGAGACACGGACCAG
rnacentral:rRNA from 1 species